UACGGAGGGUGCGAGCGUUGUCCGGAAUUAUUGGGCGUAAAGAGCUCGUAGGCGGUUUGUCGCGUCUGCUGUGAAAACGCGAGGCUCAACCUCGCGCCUGCAGUGGGUACGGGCAGACUAGAGUGCGGUAGGGGAGAUUGGAAUUCCUGGUGUAGCGGUGGAAUGCGCAGAUAUCAGGAGGAACACCGAUGGCGAAGGCAGAUCUCUGGGCCGUAACUGACGCUGAGGAGCGAAAGCGUGGGGAGCGAACAGG
rnacentral:rRNA from 1 species